UGAUUGGGCGUCGACCGGCGCACGGGUGAGUAACGCGUAUCCAACCUGCCCACCACUUGGGGAUAACCUUGCGAAAGUAAGACUAAUACCCAAUGAUAUCUCUAGAAGACAUCUGAAAGGGAUUAAAGAUUUAUCGGUGAUGGAUGGGGAUGUGUCUGAUUAGCUUGUUGGCGGGGUAACGGCCCACCAAGGCGACGAUCAGUAGGGGUUCUGAGAGGAAGGUCCCCCACAUUGGAACUGAGACACGGUCCAAACUCCUACGGGAGGCAGCAGUGAGGAAUAUUGGUCAAUGGACGAGAGUCUGAACCAGCCAAGUAGCGUGCAGGAAGACGGCCCUAUGGGUUGUAAACUGCUUUUAUAAGGGAAUAAAGUGAGUCUCGUGAGACUUUCUGCAUGUACCUUAUGAAUAAGGACCGGCUAAUUCCGUGCCAGCAGCCGCGGUAAUACGGAAGGUCCGGGCGUUAUCCGGAUUUAUUGGGUUUAAAGGGAGCGUAGGCCGGAGAUUAAGCGUGUUGUGAAAUGUAGACGCUCAACGUCUGCACUGCAGCGCGAACUGGUUUCCUUGAGUACGCACAAAAGUGGGCGGAACUCGUGGUGUAGCGGUGAAAUGCUUAGAUAUCACGAAGAACUCCGAUUGCGAAGGCAGCUCACUGGAGCGCAACUGACGCUGAAGCUCGAAAGUGCGGGUAUCGAACAGGAUUAGAUACCCUGGUAGUCCGCACGGUAAACGAUGGAUGCCCGCUGUUGGU
rnacentral:rRNA from 1 species